ACUUAGUAUUAGCAGCAACAAUGGUAGCGAGUAGUAUGAAAGACUAAAAAUCUGCAUAGGGAGGCCGGUUGGGGCGGUGGAUCGGUCAAACAACACA